GCGGGUUUUGAGGAUGUUUUUUGUCCGCAUCAGAUACACCCUCCGGUCCUGGAAAGGAUUUGGAGAGGAAUCAAAGACUAGUC
rnacentral:telomerase_RNA from 1 species